rnacentral:tRNA from 1 species
GAGGCUCUAGUAAAUAAAUUACAUAGCUCUGUCAGCGCUAAAUAAAAGGCUGCCCCCUUUGCGCCUCU